rnacentral:rRNA from 1 species
GAUGAACGCUAGCGGGAGGCCUAACACAUGCAAGCCGAGCGGUAUUGUUUCUUCGGAAAUGAGAGAGCGGCGUACGGGUGCGUAACACGUGUGCAACCUGCCUUUAUCUGGGGGAUAGCCUUUCGAAAGGAAGAUUAAUACUCCAUAAUAUAUUGAACGGCAUCGUUUAAUAUUGAAAGCUCCGGCGGAUAGAGAUGGGCACGCGCAAGAUUAGCUUGUUGGUGAGGUAACGGCUCACCAAGGCGAUGAUCUAGGGGGCAUGAGAGGGUGAUCCCCCACACUGGUACUGAGACACGGACCAGACUCCUACGGGAGGCAGCAGUGAGGAAUAUUGGUCAAUGGGUGCAAGCCUGAACCAGCCAUCCCGCGUGAAGGACGACUGCCCUAUGGGUUGUAAACUUCUUUUGUAUAGGGAUAAACCUACCCUCGUGAGGGUAGCUGAAGGUACUAUACGAAUAAGCACCGGCUAACUCCGUGCCAGCCGCCGCGGUAA